rnacentral:rRNA from 1 species
ACUGGGUGUAAUACAAGGAUAUGACCUUCCAUCGCAUGGUGGUUGGUGGAAAGCUUUUGUGGUUUUGGAUGGACUCGCGGCCUAUCAGCUUGUUAGUGAGGUAAUGGCUUACCACGGCGACGACGGGUAGCCCGCAUGAGAGGGUGACCGGCCACACUGGGACUGAGACACGGACCAGACUCGUAUGGUAGGCAGCAGUGGGGAAUAUUGCACAAUGGGCGCAAGCGUGAUGCAGCGACGCCGCGUGAGGGAAGACGGCCUUCGGGUUGUAAACCUCUUUCAGUAGGGAAGAAGCGAAAGUGACGGUACCUGCAGAAGAAGCGCCGGCUAAAUACGUGCCAGCAGCCGCGGUAAUAAGUAGGGCGCAAGCGUUAUCCGGAAUUAUUGGGGGUAAAGAGGUGGUAGGCGGUUUGUCGCGUUUGCCGUGAAAGUCCGGGGCUCAACUCCGGAUGUGCCGUGGGUACGGGCAGACUAGAGUGAUGUAGGGGAGACUGGAAUUCCUGGUGUAGCGGUGAAAUGCGCAGAUAUCAGGAGGAACACCGAUGGCGAAGGCAGGUCUYUGGGCAUUAACUGACGMUGAGGAGSGAAAGCAUGGGGAGSGAACAGGAUUAGAUACCCUGGUAGUCCAUGCCGUAAACGUUGGGCACUAGGUGUGGGGGACAUUCCACGUYYUCCGCGCCGUAKCUAACGCAUUAAGGAUGCCCCGCCUGGGGAGUACGGCCGCAAGGCUAAAACUCAAAGGAAUUGACGGGGGCCCGCACAAGCGGCGGAGCAUGCGGAUUAAUUCGAUGCAACGCGAAAAACCUUACCAAGGCUUGACAUGGACCGGACCGCCGCAGAAAUGUGGUUUCCCCUUUUGGGGCUGGUUUACGGGUGGUGCAUGGUUGUCCUCAGCUCGUGUCGUGAGAUGUUGGGUUAAGUCCCGCAACGAGCGCAACCCUCUCUCUAUGUUGCCAGCACGUGAUGGUGGGGACUCAUAAGAGACUGCCGGGGUCAACUCGAAGGAAGGUGGGAACGACGUCAAAUCAUCAUGCUCCUUAUGUCUUGGGCUUCACGCUUGCUACAAUGGCCGGUACAAAGGGUUGCGAUACUGUGAGGUGUAGCUAAUCCCAAAAAGCCGGUCUCAGUUCGGAUUGCUGUCUGCAACUCGACCCCAUGAAGUCGGAGUCGCUAGUAAUCACAGAUCAGCAACGCUGCAGUGAAUACGUGCCCGGGCUGACACAGAAAAACAAAACAA